rnacentral:rRNA from 1 species
GAUGAACGCUGGCGGCGUGCCUAAUACAUGCCAGUCGAGCGAACAGACGAGGAGCUUGCUCCUCUGACGUUAGCGGCGGACGGGUGAGUAACACGUGGAUAACCUACCUAUAAGACUGGGAUAACUUCGGGAAACCGGAGCUAAUACCGGAUAAUAUAUUGAACCGCAUGGUUCAAUAGUGAAAGACGGUUUUGCUGUCACUUAUAGAUGGAUCCGCGCCGCAUUAGCUAGUUGGUAAGGUAACGGCUUACCGAGGCAACGAUGCGUAGCCGACCUGAGAGGGUGAUCGGCCACACUGGAACUGAGACACGGUCCAGACUCCUACGGGGGGCAGCAGUAGGGAAUCUUCCGCAAUGGGCGAAAGCCUGACGGAGCAACGCCGCGUGAGUGAUGAAGGUCUUCGGAUCGUAAAACUCUGUUAUUAGGGAAGAACAAAUGUGUAAGUAACUAUGCACGUCUUGACGGUACCUAAUCAGAAAGCCACGGCUAACUACGUG